rnacentral:rRNA from 1 species
CGGCUGGGCAUGCGGCGCAUUAGCUAGUUGGCGGGGCAACGGCCCACCAAGGCGACGAUGCGUAGGGGUUCUGAGAGGAAGGUCCCCCACACUGGAACUGAGACACGGUCCAGACUCCUACGGGAGGCAGCAGUGAGGAAUAUUGGUCAAUGGGCGCAAGCCUGAACCAGCCAAGUCGCGUGAGGGAAGACGGCCCUACGGGUUGUAAACCUCUUUUGCCGGGGAGCAAGCCUGAGCACGUGUGCCCAGGCGGAGAGUACCCGGAGAAAAAGCAUCGGCUAACUCCGUGCCAGCAGCCGCGGUAAUACGGAGGAUGCGAGCGUUAUCCGGAUUUAUUGGGUUUAAAGGGUGCGCAGGCGGGCUGUUAAGCCGGCGGUAAAAAUUCAGGGCUCAACCCUGUCGAGCCGUCGGAACUGGCAGUCUUGAGUGGGCGAGAAGUAUGCGGAAUGCGUGGUGUAGCGGUGAAAUGCAUAGAUA